GACAGAGGGUGCAAACGUUGUUCGGAUUUACUGGGCGUAAAGGGCGCGUAGGCGGUCAGCACAAGUCAGUUGUGAAAUCUCCGGGCUUAACUCGGAAAGGUCAACUGAUACUGUGCGACUAGAGUGCAGAAGGGGCAACUGGAAUUCUCGGUGUAGCGGUGAAAUGCGUAGAUAUCGAGAGGAACACCUGCGGCGAAGGCGGGUUGCUGGGCUGACACUGACGCUGAUGCGCGAAAGCCAGGGGAGCGAACGGG
rnacentral:rRNA from 1 species